rnacentral:tRNA from 1 species
GCGACACUAGCUCAGUUGGUAGAGCGCAACCUUGCCAAGGUUGAGGUCACGCCUAGUUCUUAAAAAGAUCAGGAACCUCGUGUGUCGCUCCA